GAGAAGAUCUACCCCUAGUACGAGAGGACCGGGGCGGACGAACCUCUGGUGUAUCGAUUGUGGCCACCUGCUGCAUUGUCGAGUAGCUACGUUCGGAAUGGAUAAGCGCUGAAAGCAUAUUAAGCGCGAAGCCAACUUCAAGAUUAGAUUUCCCUAUGAGGACACUGAUAGACGAUCAGUUUGAUAGGUGCAAGGUGGAAGCAUAGUAAUAUGUGUAGCUGAAGCAUACUAACAGUCCCAUUGCCUUUUUAUG
rnacentral:ncRNA from 1 species